rnacentral:rRNA from 1 species
AGAGUUUGAUCAUGGCUCAGGAUGAACGCUGGCGGCGUGCCUAACACAUGCAAGUCGAACGGAGUGUUGAGAGCUUGCUUUUAACACUUAGUGGCGGACGGGUGAGUAAUGUAUGAGCAACCUGCCUUUCAGAGGGGGACAACAGUUGGAAACGACUGCUAAUACCGCAUAAUGUAUUUUGGAGGCAUCUCUGGGAUACCAAAGGAGCAAUCCGCUGAAAGAUGGGCUCAUAUCUGAUUAGCUAGUUGGUGAGGUAACGGCUCACCAAGGCUGCGAUCAGUAGCCGGACUGAGAGGUUGAACGGCCACAUUGGGACUGAGAUACGGCCCAGACUCCUACGGGAGGCAGCAGUGGGGAAUAUUGGGCAAUGGGCGAAAGCCUGACCCAGCAACGCCGCGUGAAGGAAGAAGGUCUUCGGAUUGUAAACUUCUUUUAUGAGGGACGAAGGACGUGACGGUACCUCAUGAAUAAGCCACGGCUAACUACGUGCCAGCAGCCGCGGUAAUACGUAGGUGGCAAGCGUUAUCCGGAUUUACUGGGUGUAAAGGGCGCGUAGGCGGGGAUGCAAGUCAGAUGUGAAAUCUAUGGGCUUAACCCAUAAACUGCAUUUGAAACUGUAUCUCUUGAGUGCUGGAGAGGUAGAUGGAAUUCCUUGUGUAGCGGUGAAAUGCGUAGAUAUAAGGAAGAACACCAGUGGCGAAGGCGAUCUACUGGACAGUAACUGACGCUGAGGCGCGAAAGCGUGGGGAGCAAACAGGAUUAGAUACCCUGUAGUCCACGCUGUAAACGAUGAAUACUAGGUGUGGGGGGACUGACCCCCUCCGUGCCGCAGUUAACACAAUAAGUAUUCCACCUGGGGAGUACGGCCGCAAGGUUGAAACUCAAAGGAAUUGACGGGGGCCCGCACAAGCAGUGGAUUAUGUGGUUUAAUUCGAAGCAACGCGAAGAACCUUACCAGGGCUUGACAUCCAACUAACGAAGCAGAGAUGCAUUAGGUGCCCUUCGGGGAAAGUUGAGACAGGUGGUGCAUGGUUGUCGUCAGCUCGUGUCGUGAGAUGUUGGGUUAAGUCCCGCAACGAGCGCAACCCCUAUUGUUAGUUGCUACGCAAGAGCACUCUAGCGAGACUGCCGUUGACAAAACGGAGGAAGGUGGGGACGACGUCAAAUCAUCAUGCCCCUUAUGUCCUGGGCUACACACGUAAUACAAUGGCGUCCAACAAAGGGAAGCAAAACCGCGAGGUAGAGCAAAUCCCCAAAAGACGUCUCAGUUCGGAUUGCAGGCUGCAACUCGCCUGUAUGAAGUCGGAAUUGCUAGUAAUCGUGGAUCAGCAUGCCACGGUGAAUACGUUCCCGAGCCUUGUACACACCGCCCGUCACACCAUGAGAGCCGGGAACACCCGAAGUCCGUAGUCUAACCGCAAGGAGGACGCGGCCGAAGGUGGGUUUGGUAAUUGGGGUGAAGUCGUAACAAGGUA